ACCCUCCGGGGUUCCCUUUCCCAUCAGAUCUGAACACUGGUCUUGGUGGUCGUAAAAGGAGGAAAAGUUAAUACUGAAGCUGGCCUCACAGUAGUGUAGUUUGGUAUACAGCAUGUGGGCUAGUUUCAAACAAGG
rnacentral:snoRNA from 1 species